rnacentral:rRNA from 1 species
UGAUCCAGACUUUGAUCAUGGCUCAGGACGAACGCUGGCGGCGUGCUUAACACAUGCAAGUCGAACGGAGAACUUAUUUCGGUAAGUUCUUAGUGGCGAACGGGUGAGUAACGCGUGGGCAACCUGCCCUCCAGUUGGGGACAACAUUCCGAAAGGGAUGCUAAUACCGAAUGUGCUCCCUCCUCCGCAUGGAGGAGGGAGGAAAGAUGGCCUCUGCUUGCAAGCUAUCGCUGGAAGAUGGGCCCGCGUCUGAUUAGCUAGUUGGUGGGGUAACGGCUCACCAAGGCGAUGAUCAGUAGCCGGUCUGAGAGGAUGAACGGCCACAUUGGGACUGAGACACGGCCCAAACUCCUACGGGAGGCAGCAGUGGGGAAUCUUCCGCAAUGGACGAAAGUCUGACGGAGCAACGCCGCGUGAGUGAUGAAGGUCUUCGGAUUGUAAAACUCUGUUGUUAGGGACGAAAGCACCGUGUUCGAACAGGUCAUGGUGUUGACGGUACCUAACGAGGAAGCCACGGCUAACUACGUGCCAGCAGCCGCGGUAAUACGUAGGUGGCAAGCGUUGUCCGGAAUUAUUGGGCGUAAAGAGCAUGUAGGCGGGCUUUUAAGUCUGACGUGAAAAUGCGGGGCUUAACCCCGUAUGGCGUUGGAUACUGGAAGUCUUGAGUGCAGGAGAGGAAAGGGGAAUUCCCAGUGUAGCGGUGAAAUGCGUAGAUAUUGGGAGGAACACCAGUGGCGAAGGCGCCUUUCUGGACUGUGUCUGACGCUGAGAUGCGAAAGCCAGGGUAGCAAACGGGAUUAGAUACCCCGGUAGUCCUGGCCGUAAACGAUGGAUACUAGGUGUAGGAGGUAUCGACCCCUUCUGUGCCGGAGUUAACGCAAUAAGUAUCCCGCCUGGGGACUACGAUCGCAAGAUUGCAACUCAAAUGAAUUGACGGA